AUUAUAUUCCCUCAGUUUCAAAAUUCUUGUCUUAGAUUUGUCUAGAUACGGAUAUCCAUGUUUAGAUACAUCCGUAUCUAGACAAAUCUAAGACAAGAAUUUUGGGACGGAGGGAGUAGAUU
rfam:Triticum aestivum genome assembly, contig: Triticum_aestivum_CS42_TGACv1_scaffold_148390_2BS